CCUACGGGAGGCAGCAGUGGGGAAUAUUGCACAAUGGGGGAAACCCUGAAGCAGCGACGCCGCGUGAGUGAAGAAGUAUCUAGGUACGUAAAGCUCUAUCAGUAGGGAAGAAAAUGACGGUACCUGACCAAGAAGCCCCGGCGAACUACGUGCCAGAAGCCGCGGUAAUACGUAGGGGGCAAGCGUUAUCCGGAUUUACUGGGUGUAAAGGGAGCGUAGAGGGCAGCACAAGACUGGAGUGAAAGCCCUGGGCUUAACGGCGGAACUGCUUUUGAAACUGUGAGGCUGGAGUGCAGUGGGGGUAAGCGGAAUUCCUAGUGUAGCGGUGAAAUGCGUAGAUAUUAGGAAGAACACCGGUUGCGAAGGCGGCUUACUGGACUGUAACUGACGUUGAGGCUCGAAAGCGUGGGGAGCAAACAGGAUUAGAUACCCCAGUAGUC
rnacentral:rRNA from 1 species